rnacentral:misc_RNA from 1 species
GAAAAAUGAUGUGUUUUAUAUAAUUUUAGUUUUUCUUAAAUAUAUUUAUUACUAAAAGUACCCUUGGUUGUUUGCUGAGAAAAGUAUAGGGAUUGAAAGUUUGAUUUGCGGGUUCUAAUUUGACUAGUUUCAAAUGGGUUACUAGUUCACUUAACCUAAAUUAGAUUCAAUUUCGUGGGUUUUGGCCUCUAGACUUUCAAAGUAUGAAAAUUUGAUCUAAAUU